rnacentral:rRNA from 1 species
CCUACGGGAGGCAGCAGUGGGGAAUAUUGGGCAAUGGGCGCAAGCCUGACCCAGCAACGCCGCGUGAAGGAAGAAGGCUUUCGGGUUGUAAACUUCUUUUAUUGAGGAAGAAAAAAAUGACGGUACUCUAUGAAUCAGCCACUGCUAACUACGUGCCAGCAGCCGCGGUAAUACGUAGGUGGCAAGCGUUAUCCGGAUUUACUGGGUGUAAGGGGCGUGUAGGCGGGACUGCAAGUCAGAUGUGAACACCAUGGGCUCAACCCCUGGCCUGCAUUGGAAACUGUAGGGCUUGAGUGAAGGAGAGGCAGGUGGAAUUCCUGGUGUAGCGGUGAAAUGCGUAGAUAUACGGAGGAACACCAGUGGCGAAGGCGGCCUGCUGGACAUUAACUGACGCUGAGGCUCGAAAGCGUGGGGAGCAAACAGGAUUAGAUACCCGUGUAGUC